CCUCCUCUGAACUUUUGAUUCUUCUUCUUUAAGAUCUUUCCAAUCUUUUUUUGGAUUAGAUAAGACUUUAUCUUAAAUCUUAAAGUCUUGUCCUAAAAUGAAGAUGAGUUGUAAGAAAGAAAGGAGAGCUACGGAGAAGAAAAUGGAAAGAUUUCUAAAUACCUUGAACAUCCAGUGCCUAGGCCAUUUUAUAGCCACC
rnacentral:lncRNA from 1 species